rnacentral:lncRNA from 1 species
ACAAGCCCAGUCCUAGCCCUUAAUCACUGCAACCCACCCUAUUCGUCUUCAACAUCGCCGAUUCAUCUACAGUCGUUAUCGUCGGCCACCACCUAUACUAAAGCCGACAAACCACAAUCCCCAACGUCUUUACCCCCCAUACACUGUCAACAUAUAUGCCCACUGCACUCAACCACUCCGCCACUGCGUCACUCGCCGAAUCCAGCUACUGCCUCCAAGCUCAGAUUCUGUUCUUCGUAUUUCUGCUACAGUGGUGUCGGUCGUUGGUCCCUCCUGUAGUAUCUCUAGGUUGGCGCCUACCCAAAUUCAACCAUUCCAUCUCUAUCAUCUCCAAUCGCCACAACCACCAUAGGCAACUUUAGAGAAAACCCGGCAGUUUCAAUUUUCCCAGCCCAGCCCAUAUCCAAUUCCAAUUAACUCAACAGGCCUAUUCGAACAAUCUCACUUAACACCAUCAGCCUAAUCUGGUUCUCAACCUUAAACCAUAAUCCAGCCCAAAUUCCGUCCAAUCUAUCCUUAAACUCUAUCUCAUAGCUGUCAUCAGCUGCCGCUGUCCUAGCUCACCACACCGUGUCGAUCGUCAUCGACCACACUUCCUCUCAUCCUAUCAAUCACAGACCAUCAUCCUGCAAGCCUUCAUCUUCUUCAAAAUCGAUCCCCACCUGCACCCAGCAACUUACUGACCGAUACAACACAUACCCUAUCAUCGCCGACAGCCCCAAGUCAUCGGCCUCCAUCUGUAAGUUCUCCAAAUUCCAACCGUCAUCCCUCUUGAAUUACCUACAAUAGCGACUUAGAUUGUAUUUUUCCAGAUGGCCCAGUUGACUGGCCGUCUGGAUUUUUAAGACGGCCGUUCGGAUUUUCCAUCCAGGCAGCCCAGUUGAUUUUUUUAAUUUAUAAUUAAUUUAUUUUAAUUACUUCAUUUUGAGUAAAGUAAAUAAUUGAAUAUUUAAUAAUUAAAAUAAAUAAAUAAAUGUUAUUUAUAAAUUGCUUGUUUCAAUAUUUAAUAUAUAAUUAUUUAGUUGAAUUACUUAUAUACAAUUUAAUAUUUAAUUAUUUAGUGUAAUUAAAUAACUAUUAUUUAUUUGAAUUACUUAUUUAAAUAUUUAAUUAUGUAUUUGAAUAUUUUAUGUUCUUCUUUGAAUAUUUUAAAUAUUAUUUAGUUUUAACUACUUAUUUAAAUAUUCUAAUUGCUUAUAUUUUUUUCUAAUAUUUAAUUAUUUAUUUGAAUUACUUAUUUGAAUUGUUUAAUUUUUAUGCAUAUUAUGCAUUUAAUAUUUAAUUACUUAUUUAUGUUAUUUAUUUUAGUUUUUAUUUAGUAUUUAAUUAUUUAGUGUAAUUAAAUAACUAUUAUUUAUUUGAAUUAUUUAUUUAAAUAUUGAAUUAUGUAUUUGAAUAUUUUAUGUUCUUUUAUUUGAAUAUUUUAAAUAUUAUUUAGUUUUUUAAUUACUUAUUUAAAUAUUUUAAUUGCUUAUAUUUUUGUCUAAUAUUUAAUUAUUUAUUAGAAUUGUUUAAUUUUUAUGCAUAUUAUGUAUUUAAUAUUUAAUUACUUAUUUAUGUUAUUUAUUUUAAUUGUUAUUUAGUUAUUUGUUAUUAUAUAAACAAUUUCAUGGAAUAAAUAAUUUAGUAAAUGAAUAUAAACAAUUAAUUAAAGUAAUUAAAAAAUGUUUAAAUAAGUUAAUUAUUUGAAGAAUGAAAUACUAAAUAUUAAUAAAAUUAAGCAGUUAAGCAAUUAAAAUUAGUAAUUAAAAUAUUAAAAUAAACGAUUAAAUUAAGCAAUUAAAAUAAAUAAUAUACAUGAACAAUUAAAAUAAUUAUUUAAAUAAUUAAGUAAACAAUAAAAUUAAGUAUUAAUAAAAUAAUUAAAGUAAACGAUUAAAAUAAGUGAUUAAAAUAUUAAAAUGAACGAUUAAGUUUUGUAUUAGUAAAAUAAUUAAAUUAAAUAAUUAAAUAUUAAAUAAGUAAUAUACGUAAACAAACCGCAAUAAUUAUUUAAAUAAUGAAAUAAAUAAUAUACAUAAAUAAUUAAUAUUUAUUUACACUCGUUUCCUUUAUUCCAUUAUCUGUUGAUUAUUGCGUGUAGCAAUAGGACAGUUAAUUUAAUUUUCUAAUAUUAUACGAUAUUUAUUAUCUCUUGCACAGGGUUAUAGUAUUUGAAAUUUUGCAAGAUGGAAUAUCAUUUGGACGACGCUGUCAAACAGAUCCCUGGUAAAGUUACGUCGAACUGUAAUUUUGUUAGUUUCACUUCGGUAUUAGAUUUGCUGGAUGACGAGCACGCAGACAUAUUACGUCGAUCGUGCUUAUGGCCAUUGUAUUCCUUACGCAACAUACAAUUUUCUGAGCAGCUGUUCGAUGCCCUGUUAUGUCGGCUGCUUAAGUCAGUUAACGGAGAUAUCCUCCAUUUUGAUCUUGGGGACAAGAUAGCAACGUUCUCCAUAUUUGAGUUUGCCCUCAUCACUGGAUUGCGAUGUACGGACGAAGAAGCGGCGAGGUCCUGUAUUUCAAAGAAUAGGAGGUUGUUGAAUGAAUAUUUUCAUGGAUAGACGAAAGUUACUCUGGCGUUGUUGGGAGACGCAUUCAGGGGUUACAGUUAGAUGUCUGAUAAGCUGAAAUUGGGUUUGGUGCUUAUCCUCGAGAGCGUACUCAGGUGUUAUCACAAAAAGACAUCGAUUGACAUUUUCCAUUUGGAGGUUGUUGAUGACAUUGAUACCUUUAAUAUCUAUUCAUGGGGACGAAAAUGUUUUAUGGAUACAUUACGCGUCUUCAGGAGGGGGUUUUCGAUGCUUAAGGGAGAUAGGCCCGAGCACAAAUACGAUGUAUAUGGACUGCCGUUGGCGUUGCAGGUAUAUGUUUAAGUUAAUUAAUUAUCUACGCUUUUUUUAUUAAAUUCUAUAUAUAAUAAUUGUGGUAUUGUCUAACCUAGCUUUAAUUAAUUUUAAAAUUUCUCCUCAAUGUUAAAUUACUUAUUUUCAUGUAUUUUUACUAUUGUUAUUUAUUGCAUUUUCAUUUAUGUGGCCAAUGAAUGUUUGUGUUAAGUGAAUUGUACAUCAUUUGAGAUAAGAUUGUACAUUUUUUGACCAAAUAGUAGAAACUCUAGGUUUGUAUAGGAGAUAGAGAUAUACCCCUAACCCUAGGUGAUCCAUUGAGUUAUUUUCACGAAAACUUAAUGCGAUUAUUUGGUUUAAUCGACAUAGAAAUAUAGUAGGUUAAACCAAUCAAUUAUGACAAAUUUCACUCGAAAGAGGUAAUCUACUAAAAUUGGAAGAUCAGAUCUAACAUCAUAAAUGAGUAGCUUGUUAAUUGGCUUGUGGAGGAAUUAAUUAGACGACAGUUAAGCAAAACCAUGAAUCCCAACCACGUUUGUUAUCGAAAAUUCCCAAG